rnacentral:tRNA from 1 species
GGAGAGAUGGCUCAGUGGUUAAGAGCACUGACUGCUCUUCCAGAGGACCUGGGUUCUAGUCCCAGUAUCCCCA